rnacentral:lncRNA from 1 species
AUAUUUUAAAUCUCAUAUAGAACUGACCAAGAUUAUCCUAGUAUUCCAGCAGCUGGUAUUCUAACACUAGGAAUUCUUUAAAAAAAAUUAGCCCCUGGACAUUAGCCAUUAGACCCUGUUGCAAAGAAAGGUUGAGAUGGAUUAUCCUGAAUAAGUAGUAAAUGCUUAUUUAGGUAGUUUCUGAGACAGCUUUAUUAAUGUAUAAGAACAAAUACUCUAUUUUAAUGAGUUAGGAAUCCAUCUUGGUUUUGUUUUCUAAAUAGAAUUCUAGGUUCAAAACUUUUGAGGAGAUAAUAGUGAGGCUUUAUUGGGUACUCUUCAUACACGUGGGAUGGAGAGUUGGCUUAUAAAAUAGUUCGUCUUCCGAAUCUGUUUAACUUAGCCCAAUUUAAAUUGUAUUAACAGUCUGGUUUUUUUUUU